rnacentral:rRNA from 1 species
UACAGUCUGCCCAGUGACCAUCCCGUUCAACGGCUGCGGUAUUCUGACCGUACAAAGGUAGCGUAAUCACAUGUUCUUUAAUUGAGGACCCGUAUGAAUGACUUAACGAGGGUUAUACUGUCUCCUUUCCCCAAUCAGUGAAACUAAUCUCCCUGUGAAAAAGCAGGGAUAAUUAUAUAAGACGAAAAGACCCUAUGGAGCUUUAAACUAAACUACAUUUGCCGUACACAAAAUAAUUAAACUUAUCUUGGCACUAUGAUUUUAAGUUUUCGGUUGGGGCAACCACGGAGAAAAAUAAAUCCUCCAUGUUGAAUAAGAUUAUUCUUUAGCCAAAAGCUACAACUUUAAGCAUCAUAAAAUUGACACUAUUGACCCAAUAUUUUGAUCAACGAACCAAGUUACCCUAGGGAUAACAGCGCAAUCCGCUUUGAGAGUACAUAUUGACAAGCGGGCUUACGACCUCGAUGUUGGAUCUGGGUGUCCUAGUGGUGCAGCAGCUACUAAAGGUUCGGNNGUUCAAC